rnacentral:rRNA from 1 species
CAAUGGCGUAACAAAGGGAAGCGAGACGGUGACGUUAAGCAAAUCCCAGAAAUAACGUCCCAGUUCGGAUUGUAGUCUGCAACCCGACUACAUGAAGCUGGAAUCGCUAGUAAUCGCGAAUCAGAAUGUCGCGGUGAAUACGUUCCCGGGUCUUGUACACACCGCCCGUCACACCAUGGGAGUCGGAAAUGCCCGAAGUCAGUGACCCAACCGUAAGGAGGGAGCCGCCGAAGGUGGAGCCGGUAACUGGGGUGAAGUCGUAACAAGGUACC